rnacentral:rRNA from 1 species
GACGAACGCUGGCGGCGUGCUUAACACAUGCAAGUCGAACGGAAAGACCCUGCUUUUGUGGGGUGCUCGAGUGCCGAACGGGUGAGUAACACGUGAGUAACCUGCCCUUGACUUUGGGAGAACUUCAGGAAACUGGGGCUCAUACCGGAUAGGAUCUCCUGCUGCAUGUUGGGGGUUGGAAAGUUUCGGCGGUUUGGGAUGGACUCGCGGCUUAUCAGCCUGUUUGGGGGGUAGUUGCUUACCAAGGCUUUGAGGGGUAGCCGGCCUGAGAGGGUGACCGGCGACCUUGGGACUGAGAGACGGACCAGAAUCCUACCGGAGGCAGCAGUGGGGAGUAUUACACAAUGGGGGGGAGCGUGAUGCAGCAACGUCGCGUGCGGGAUACCGGCUUUCGGGUUGUAAACCGCUUUCUACUGUGACGAAGCGUGAGUGACGGUAAUGGGUAAAGAAGCACCGGCUAACUACGUG